rnacentral:rRNA from 1 species
UACGUAGGUGGCAAGCGAUACUCGGAAUCACUAGGCGUAAAGCGCAGGUAGGCGGUUUGGUAAGUCUUUUGUGAAAGCUCCCGGCUUAACUGGGAGAGGUCAAGGGAAACUACUAGACUAGAGUGUGGUAGGGGAUACUGGAAUUCCUGGUGUAGCGGUGAAAUGCGUAGAUAUCAGGAGGAAUACCUAUGGCGAAAGCAGGUAUCUGGGCCAUCACUGACGCUGAGCUGCGAAAGCUAGGGGAGCAAACGGG